GGGGGGGGCGGGGGGGGGGGCGGGGGGGUGCAAGGCGAGCGGAGGGACGGGAGGCUGGCUUCUCUGAUGUUAGCGGCGGACGGGUGAGUAACACGUGGAUAACCUACCUAUAAGACUGGGAUAACUUCGGGAAACCGGAGCGAAUACCGGAUAAUAUUUUGAACCGCAUGGUUCAAAAGUGAAAGACGGUCUUGCUGUCACUUAUAGAUGGAUCCGCGCUGCAUUAGCUAGUUGGUAAGGUAACGGCUUACCAAGGCAACGAUGCAUAGCCGACCUGAGAGGGUGAUCGGCCACACUGGAACUGAGACACGGUCCAGACUCCUACGGGAGGCAGCAGUAGGGAAUCUUCCGCAAUGGGCGAAAGUCUGACGGAGCAACGCCGCGUGAGUGAUGAAGGUCUUCGGAUCGUAAAACUCUGUUAUUAGGGAAGAACAUAUGUGUAAGUAACUGUGCACAUCUUGACGGUACCUAAUCAGAAAGCCACGGCUAACUACGUG
rnacentral:rRNA from 1 species